rnacentral:rRNA from 1 species
UACAGAGGAUGCAAGCGUUAUCCGGAAUGAUUGGGCGUAAAGCGUCUGUAGGUGGCUUUUUAAGUCCGCCGUCAAAUCCCAGGGCUCAACUCUGGACAGGCGGUGGAAACUACCAAGCUGGAGUACGGUAGGGGAGAAUGGAAUUCCCGGUGUAGCGGUGAAAUGCGCAGAUAUCGGGAGGAACACCGGUGGCGAAGGCGGGUCUCUGGGCAGUAACUGACGCUGAGGAGCGAAAGCGUGGGGAGCGAACAGG